CAGCGCGUAUAAUAGGUGGAGCGUAUCUGAAUAUUGGCGCAAGAGUCGUAGCAGUUGUCGAUAUGUCGGAAGUACGGGCUACCCCCGAUCUACGGCGGUCCGGCAGCUAGAUGCAGUAGGGAGACUGAUUCCUGGUGAGCGGGGAUGCGCAGUAUCAGGAGAACACCAUGGAGAGGCAGGUCUCUGGUUGUAAUGACGCGAGGAGCGAAGCAUGGGAGCGAACAGGAUAAAUACCCGGUAGUCCUGCCGUAACAUUGGCAUUAGGUGUGGGACCAUUCCACGGUUCCGCGCCGCAGCUACGCAUUAAGUGCCCCGCCUGGGAGUACGGCGCAAGGAUAAACUCAAAGGAAUUAGGGGGGCCCCACAAGCGGCGAGCAUGCGGAUUAAUUCGAGGCGCGCGAAGAACCUUUCCACGGCUGGACAUGUUCUAGAUCGCCGUAGAGAUACGGUUUCCCCUUGGGGCGGGUUCACAGGUGGUGCAUGGUUGUCGUCAGCUCGUGUCGUGAGAUGUUGGGUUAAGUCCCGCAACGAGCGCAACCCUCUUUCCAUGUUGCCAGCACGUCGUGGUGGGGACUCAUGGGAGACUGCCGGGGUCAACUCGGAGGAAGGGGAGGAGGAGGUCAAAUCAUAAUGCCCCUUAUGUCGUGGGCUUCACGCAUGUUCCAAAGGCCGGUACAAUGGGUGCGAUACUGUGAGGUGGAGCUAAUCCCAAAAAACCGGUCUCAGUUCGGAUUGGGGUCUGCAACUCGACCCCAUGAAGUCGGAGUCGCUAGUAAUCGCAGAUCAGCAACGCUGCGGUGAAUACGUUCCCGGGCCUUGUACACCCCGCCCGUCAAGUCACGAAAGGUGGGAACACCCGAA
rnacentral:rRNA from 1 species